CCUACGGGCGGCAGCAGUGGGGAAUAUUGGGCAAUGGGCGCAAGCCUGACCCAGCAACGCCGCGUGAAGGAAGAAGGCUUUCGGGUUGUAAACUUCUUUUGUCAGGGACGAAGCAAGUGACGGUACCUGACGAAUAAGCCACGGCUAACUACGUGCCAGCAGCCGCGGUAAUACGUAGGUGGCAAGCGUUAUCCGGAUUUACUGGGUGUAAAGGGCGUGUAGGCGGGACUGCAAGUCAGAUGUGAAAACCACGGGCUCAACCUGUGGCCUGCAUUUGAAACUGUAGUUCUUGAGUACUGGAGAGGCAGACGGAAUUCCUAGUGUAGCGGUGAAAUGCGUAGAUAUUAGGAGGAACACCAGUGGCGAAGGCGGUCUGCUGGACAGCAACUGACGCUGAUGCUCGAAAGCGCGGGUAUCGAACAGGAUUAGAUACCCGAGUAGUC
rnacentral:rRNA from 1 species